rnacentral:rRNA from 1 species
UUGGUCUUGUGUGCCAGCCGCCGCGGUACUACGUAUGGUGCAAGCGUUAUCCGGAUUUACUGGGUGUAAAGGGAGCGCAGGCGGUGCGGCAAGUCUGAUGUGAAAGCCCGGGGCUCAACCCCGGUACUGCAUUGGAAACUGUCGUACUAGAGUGUCGGAGGGGUAAGUGGAAUUCCUAGUGUAGCGGUGAAAUGCGUAGAUAUUAGGAGGAACACCAGUGGCGAAGGCGGCUUACUGGACGAUAACUGACGCUGAGGCUCGAAAGCGUGGGGAGCAAACAGG